AUACGGAGGAUCCGAGCGUUAUCCGGAUUUAUUGGGUUUAAAGGGUGCGCAGGCGGCCAUUUAAGUCAGCGGUUAAAUCGUGGGGCUCAACCCCAUUCUGCCGUUGAUACUGGGUGGCUUGAUUGCGGUCGAGGUUGGCGGAAUUCGUUGUGUAGCGGUGAAAUGCAUAGAUAUGACGAAGAACACCGAUUGCGUAGGCAGCUGACCAGACCGCAAAUGACGCUCAUGCACGAAAGUGCGGGGAUCGAACAGGAUUAGAUACCCUGGUAGUCCGCACAGUAAACGAUGAAUACUUGUUUUCGGCGAUAUAAUGUCGGAGGCAAAGCGAAAGCGAUAAGUAUUCCACCUGGGGAGUACGCCGGCAACG
rnacentral:rRNA from 1 species